AUGAACGCUGGCGGCGUGCCUAAUACAUGCAAGUCGAGCGAACAGACGAGGAGCUUGCUCCUCUGACGUUAGCGGCGGACGGGUGAGUAACACGUGGAUAACCUACCUAUAAGACUGGGAUAACUUCGGGAAACCGGAGCUAAUACCGGAUAAUAUAUUGAACCGCAUGGUUCAAUAGUGAAAGACGGUUUUGCUGUCACUUAUAGAUGGAUCCGCGCCGCAUUAGCUAGUUGGUAAGGUAACGGCUUACCAAGGCGACGAUGCGUAGCCGACCUGAAAGGGUGAUCGGCCACACUGGAAGUGAGACACGGUCCAGACUCCUACGGGAGGAAGCAGUAGGGAAUCUUCCGCAAUGGGCGAAAGCCUGACGGAGCAACGCCGCGUGAGUGAUGAAGGUCUUCGGAUCGUAAAACUCUGUUAUUAGGGAAGAACAAAUGUGUAAGUAACUAUGCACGUAUUGACGGUACCUAAUCAGAAAGCCACGGCUAACUACGUG
rnacentral:rRNA from 1 species